GUCUUUGGAGCUUGCUCCAAAGAAUACGAGCGGCGUCCGGCUGAGUAACGCGUAGGAAUCUGCCCCCGACUGGGGAAUAGCGUACCGAAAGGUACGGUAAUACCCCAUAGUCUCUUCCUUUUGGAAGAGUAAAGACCUUUACCGGUCGGUCAGGGAUGAGCCUGCGUCCUAUCAGGUAGUUGGUGAGGUAACGGCUCACCAAGCCAAUGACGGGUAGCUGGUCUCAUGAGGACGACCAGCCAGAGGGGGACUGAGACACGGCCCCCACUCCUACGGGAGGCAGCAAUUAGGAAUAGUCGGCAAUGGGCGAAAGCCUGACCGCGCGACACCGCGUGUAGGAUGAAGUUCUAACGAGCGUAAACUACUGUGGCAUGGGAAAAAGGCGCAAGCUUGAUGGUACCAUGCUAGAAAGGGGCCGCUAACUGCGUGCCAGAAGCGUCGGUAAGACGUGGGCCCCGAGCGUUAUCCGGUGUAACUGGGCAUAAAGAGUCGCGUAGGCGGCUCGUAAAGUUACCUUUUAAAUUCUACGGCUCAACCGUAGAACUGGGGGUAGUACUCACGAGCUAGAAUUUUCUUUAAGGGUAAAUGGAACUGUGGGAGGAGUAGUGAAAUGCGUUGAUCCCCACGGGAACACCAGUGGCGAAGGCGAUUUACUGUGAGAAAAUUGACGCUGAGGCACGAAAGCUAGGGGAGCGAAUCAGAUUAGAGACCUGAGUAGUCCUAGCCGUAAACGAAUGCCUGCUAGCUGCAUUUCCGAUCCCUUCGGGGAUUUAGGUGUGGCGAAGAUAAGUCGUUAAGCAG
rnacentral:rRNA from 1 species